rnacentral:rRNA from 1 species
GACGAACGCUGGCGGCGUGCCUAAUACAUGCAAGUCGAACGCAGUGGGGACGGGUGAGUAACACGUGGGUAACCUCCCAUCAGAGGGGAUAACACUUGGACACUAGCGCUUAACCGAUACUGAUGGAUGGACCCGCGGUGCAUUAGCUAGUUGGGGGGGUAACGGCUCACCAAGGCCACGAUGCCUAGCCGACCUGAGAGGGUGAUCGGCCACACUGGGACUGAGACACGGCCCAGACUCCUACGGGAGGCAGCAGUAGGGAAUCUUCGGCAAUGGGCGAAAGUCUGACCGAGCAACGCCGCGUGAGUGAAGAAGGUUUUCGGAUCGUAAAGCUCUGUUGUUAGAGAAGCGGUAUCUAACCAAAAAGCCACGGCUAACUACGUGCCAGCAGCCGCGGUAAUUC